AUGGAACUCGCCAAGUACCACCAAGUUCCUGAUGGAUGCGCCAAGUCCCCAGCGAGACCCAUUUUCGUCAAGUUUGACUACACGGCUAUGACCUCGGAGUUGGACCGCAAGCGCCAAGUACCCCACCGGCAAGACCACACGGACGCUCGAACGACUACAGAUCGAAACAUCAAGUACCUCGUCGAUACGUGUACGACUACCAUCGCCAAAGUCCGCGAGUACAACUACUUCCACGACGAUAUGAGUACAACUACCGUCGACGUGUACGUCUACUAUGUGAACGUGUACCCGAUGACCCCGUAG
rnacentral:rRNA from 1 species